CACCAAACCUUCAUAACGUGUUCAGACUGGCGUUGACUCGGUACUGGUGAGGUGGCUCGAAGCAUGAGUCAUGAGAACGGUUCGCAGUUGAGGUCGCAGGUUCCUCAGGCUUACCUCGUCACUCCACCACCCGCUACUCCAGAGGAGAGGUCCACUAGAUGCCUACCCGUCCGGGAGAGUCACGCCAACUUCAAGAUAGGCCCGCACUAAGCUGUAUGUAGUAACGAGGGAAGCUGCAUCCACAUGGGCACUUAAGGAAUGUUCUGACGCGUCGUGAUGAACGAAGCUGCAGCACCACCACCACCACCACAACUAGCCGCCGCCGCCCUCUGCCCAGCACUAUCGCUGCAUCGGGUGACACGGAGUGAAUGAAGGAAGAAGCCUCGGAUCGUCGUGAUCCGAUUAAGACCUAUUAUAACAGUAUCGGCGCCUCCCUCCUUCCCCCUGGGCGGGGGUGGAGCCGCCUUCCAAACUGUGCCUGCGUGGCUGGCAGUGUUGCUGGUGACGAGGUUGUGACGUUGACUAAGAGUUCGAGAGACUCCCCAAAUAAAUAGAUAAUAUA